rnacentral:tRNA from 1 species
GUUCUCGUGGCUCAGUUGGUUAGAGUGCGGGAUUCAUAGCCCUGCCUGGUCGGUUACCCCGAGGUCGCGAGUUCGAGCCUCGCCGAGAACA